rnacentral:snRNA from 1 species
AUAUAUAUAUAUAUAUAUAUAUAUAUAUAUAGAACAGCACCCUGCGCAAGGAUGACACGCAAAAUCGUGAAGCGUUCCACAUUUUU